rnacentral:rRNA from 1 species
AUGGCUCGUGCUCCUCUGCUAGCAGCAGUGGUAGUGGCGAGCUCGCUUGGGCCUGGGGCUUCUGCGGCCGAGCCUCCGGUGGCACGCGGCCUGUCGUUCGACUUCUACCGGCGGACCUGCCCGCGGGCGGAGUCCAUCGUGCGCGAGUUCGUCCAGGACGCCGUGCGCAAGGACAUCGGCCUCGCCGCGGGCCUCCUCCGCCUCCACUUCCACGACUGCUUCGUGCAGGGCUGCGACGCCUCCGUGCUGCUCGACGGCUCGGCCACGGGGCCGGGGGAGCAGCAGGCGCCGCCCAACCUCACGCUCCGCCCAUCCGCCUUCAAGGCCGUCAAUGACAUCCGUGACCGGCUGGAGCGCGAGUGCCGCGGGGCCGUCGUCUCCUGCGCCGACAUCCUCGCGCUCGCCGCCCGCGACUCCGUGGUCGUCUCCGGCGGGCCUGACUACCGCGUGCCCCUCGGCCGCCGCGACAGCCGCAGGUUUGCCACGCGGCAGGACGUCCUGUCCGACCUGCCGGCGCCGUCCUCGAACGUGCCGUCCCUCCUCGCCUUGCUC